UGCCCAGGGCGACACACGUGCUACAAUGGCAUAUACAAUGAGACGCAAUACCGCGAGGUGGAGCAAAUCUAUAAAAUAUGUCCCAGUUCGGAUUGUUCUCUGCAACUCGAGAGCAUGAAGCCGGAAUCGCUAGUAAUCGUAGAUCAGCCAUGCUACGGUGAAUACGUUCCCGGGUCUUGUACUCACCGCCCGUCACACCAUGGGAGUUGAUUUCACUCGAAGCCGGAAUACUAAACUAGUUACCGUCCACAGUGGAAUCAGCGACUGGGGUGAAGUCGUAACAAGGUAACCGUAGGAGAACCUGCGGUUGGAUCACCUCCUUUCUAG
rnacentral:rRNA from 2 species